rnacentral:lncRNA from 1 species
UGUGUUUGCAAAGUAUGCCGAACAUUCGAUCCCAUAUUGCUCGUUUAAAUUAAGGUGCACGAAGUCAACCCGUCCCCUUUUCGCUUAAGCUUCGUGCAUCCCGUCUCCAGUAAAAGGUAUAAAAUAAAGUGAAAUGUCUUUCUUAUAAUUCAGUCUCUGUAUCUGUGAUAUUAGAACAACCGCCUACUACACAUCUAUUCGGCAAUUUUUCAGUUUCGCGAUUUUUAUUUGCGCUAUUGCCUCUUUUAUGAAGGUACAUGCAAUAGUAUUUCUAUAUUAGUGAGCCAGAUGAGUCCCUACUAUUACGUCACACAAAUUGUUUCGUCCCAGUCUCUUUUGCGCGGUUUUCAGAUUCUUCACAAGGCCUAAUUCAAUAUUUAAACUGCAAUAAAUUUUACACUAAAAAAGCAAUUUCGAUUCAGUUUUCGAAUUUCCGUAUAUUUUGUAUCGUAGAUUUCGAAAAUGUAACUACUCAUUUUGUGACAGGGACACUUUAAUAGUGACUGUGGCUUGAUAUACAACCGAUUCAGUGAUACAUUUCUUAGAUAGUGGGCACAGUUCUUUAUUGUUUCGGGGGCAACUACACAUGUCAAGGCUACUCGUGCUGGAAAUUGUGGACAACGUGGAUUUGUUGUGUCCAUCGAUAGUCUGCUUGAUGUUUGGCAUACAGCUGUAAUUCAUCUUGACUGAUUAUGGUUGAAUAUCUUGUGCAGUGGGUGAUCUGCGGGAAUUCCUCGUCAAUUAUUUUCAAGAAGGAUUGUCCAACAUUAGUCCAAAUAUUUUUACUAUAUGGUGGGUUAUACCAUAUAAUUUUUCUUUUACGGCUUCGCGGGGUAUUCCUGUUAGUUGUUAGGUUUAGGGGGUGUUUAAACUGUAGCUUGUGGUUAUAACCACUUUUGUCAAGAGCUUGCUGAUAUGACCGGGAGGCUUGUUCGAAUGAAUCUUGAUCGGAGGAUAUCUCGGUUAGUAAUGUUAUAAUGGAAUAUUACGUAGAACACUAUGUGGGCGGUUAGACUUACUAUGCACGUAAAGAGGUGUGUUGUUAGGCUUAGAGUAUGGUUGAUAUUUACCAGUGGCUAGAUUUAGUGUGACGUCAAGGAAAUUCACGAUUUUCUUGGUGCAUGGCCUCGAUAGUAAUUUUCGAACCAUGGUUGUUGAAUAAGGCACACAGAUCCUUCUUAAUUAGCUCUAUUUGGCGUAGUGUUGCUUUGAUAAUGUCCAAGCUGUCGAUAAAACCACCAACUUCUAUAAAAUGGACCCUAUAAAAAAUACAAAACCACCAACUUAUAUAAAAUGGAUAAAACCACCAACAUAUAUAAAACCACCAACUAAAAAACCACCUGCAACUUCUAUAAAAUAAAAUAAAAACACCAACUUCUAUAAAAUAAAACCACCAACUUCUAAAUCACCACCAAGAUAAAACCACCAACUUUAAGAUAAAACCACCAACUUCUAUAAAAUGGACCCUAAAUCUUAUAAUGAUCUUCUUCAUAUAAGAACAUUAUGAAAACCUAUAAGACAAUUCCGGCCGAGACAGUUUGCAACAUUGAACACGAAGCUAAAUCCAUCGCUAAAAAAUUAAAUCUUAAUGAUAUAAUUAACACCACAGCACAGAGAGAAGCCUUUGUUACGUUGAAAGAUCACAAACCCAAUUUUGAAAACAACCCGACUUGCCGCCUUAUCAACCCGAGCAAAUCUGAAAUUGGAAUAGUUAGCAAACAAACCCUGGAUAGAAUUAAUACGAAAGUCAUCGAAGCUACGUGCAUAAACCAGUGGGAAAACAUUAAAUCUGUGUUGUCCUGGUUUAAUAAAGUUACUGAUAAGAGCCAGUGCUCAUUUAUUGCAUUUGAUCUUCUUGACUUCUAUCCAUCCAUCUCAAUCGUUUUUCUGAAGGCUGCGUUAGAUUUUGCGUCCAAGUAUGAUAACAUCAUAGAUACAGAAAGAGAAAUUAUUUUACAUGCGAAGAAAUCGUGCUUGUACAACUCGGGAAAGCACCGAAGAAAGAAAUCAUCAUCCAAUCUAUUUGAUGUCACUAUGGGUAUAGUUUUGAUGGUGCAGAAUCAUGUG